rnacentral:rRNA from 1 species
AACGAACGCUGGCGGCAUGCCUAACACAUGCAAGUCGAACGAGACCUUCGGGCCUAGUUGCGCACGGGGGCGUGACGCCUGGUAACCUACCCUUAGGUUCGCAAUACCUCCCCGAGAGGUGUCCUAAUACCGGUUAAUGUCUUCCGACCAAAGAUUUAUCGCCGUUGGAUGGGCGCGCGUUGGAUUAGCUAGUUGGUAGGGUAAACGCCUAUCAAGGCGACGAUCCAUAGCUGGUCUGAGAGGAUGAUCAGACAGACUGGGACUGAGACACGGCCCAGACUCGGACGGGAGGCGGCAGUGGGGAAUAUUGGACGAUGGGAGAAAGCCUGAGCAAGCAAGGCCGCGUGAGGGAUGAAGGCCUGAGGGUUGUAAAGCUCUUUUACCAGGGAUGAUAAUGAAAGUACCGGGAGAAUAAGGCCCGGCUAACUCAGUG